rnacentral:misc_RNA from 1 species
GAUGAAGAACGUAGCGAAAUGCGAUAAGUAAUGUGAAUUGCAGAAUUCAGUGAAUCAUCGAAUCUUUGAACGCACAUUGCGCCCCCUGGUAUUCCGGGGGGCAUGCCUGUUCGAGCGUCAUUUCACCACUCAAGCCUCGCUUGGUAUUGGGCAACGCGGUCCGCCGCGUGCCUCAAAUCGACCGGCUGGGUCUUCUGUCCCCUAAGCGUUGUGGAAACUAUUCGCUAAAGGGUGUUCGGGAGGCUACGCCGUAAAACAACCCAUUUCUAAGGUUGACCUCGGAUCAGGUAGGGAUACCCGCUGAACUUAAGCAUAUCAAUAAGCGGAGGA